rnacentral:rRNA from 1 species
AUUGAACGCUGGCGGCAGGCCUAACACAUGCAAGUCGAACGAGUGGCGGACGGGUGAGUAAUGUCUGGGAAACUGCCUGAUGGAGGGGGAUAACUACUGGAAACGGUAGCUAAUACCGCAUACCAUCGGAUGUGCCCAGAUGGGAUUAGCUAGUAGGUGGGGUAAAGGCUCACCUAGGCGACGAUCCCUAGCUGGUCUGCAAGGAUGACCAGCCAAACUGGAACGGAGACACGGGCCAGAAUCCGAAGGGAGGCAGCAGGGGGGAAUAUUGCACCAUGGGGGCAAGCCUGAUGCAGGCAUGCCGGGGGUAUGAAGAAGGGCUUCGGGUUGUAAAGGUCUUUCAGCGGAGAGGCGUUACCCGGAGAAGAAGCACCGGCUAACUCCGUGCCAGCAGCCGGGGUAAUUC